CCUACGGGUGGCAGCAGUCGGGAAUAUUGCGCAAUGGAGGAAACUCUGACGCAGCGACGCCGCGUGCAGGAAGAAGGUUUUCGGAUGGUAAACUGCUUUAGACAGGGAAGAAAAAAGACAGUACCGGUAGAAUAAGCACCGGCUAACUACGUGCCAGCAGCCGCGGUAAUACGUAGGGAGGAAGCGUUAUCCGGAUUUAUUGGGUGUAAAGGGUGCGUAGACGGAGAAGCAAGGUAGUGGUGAAAUCCCUCGGCUUAACUGCGGAACUGCAACUAAAACUACUUCCCUUGAGUACUGGAGAGGCAAGUUGAAUUCCUAGUGUAGCGGUGAAAUGCGUAGAUAUUAGGCGGAACCCCAGUGGCG
rnacentral:rRNA from 1 species